GUUAUUUAGGGCGCAUGGUGGAUGCCUUGGCAUGCUGAGCCGAUGAAGGACGUGAAAGGCUGCGUUAAGCCUCGGGGAGUUGUCAAUUGAGCGUUGAUCCGAGGAUGUCCGAAUGGGGAAACCUGGCACCUGUUAUGGGGUGUUACCUUGCAGUGAAUUCAUAGCUGUUGUGGGGGUUACGCGGGGAAGUGAAACAUCUCAGUACCCGUAGGAGAAGAAAAUAAUAAUGAUUCUGCUAGUAGUGGCGAACGAACGUGGAUGAGGCUAAACCGUGUGCAUGUGAUACCUGGUAGGGGUUGUGUGUGCGGUGUUGUGGGCCCUGAUGAGGAUGGCUACUGACGUCCUGCCUGCGCAUUGUUGUUAGGUGAAGUGGUGUGGAAACGCCUGCCGUAGAAGGUGAUAGUCCUGUAGCUGAAGAUGAUGGUGUGUGGGUUGUUGGGUUGCCCGAGUAGCAGCGGGCUCGUGGAAUCUGCUGUGAAUCUGCCGGGACCACCCGGUAAGCCUAAAUACUCAGUGUGACCGAUAGUGGAUAGUACCGUGAGGGAAUGGUGAAAAGUACCCCGGGAGGGGAGUGAAAUAGUUCCUGAAACCAUGUGCUUACAAUC
rnacentral:rRNA from 1 species